GACGAACGCUGGCGGCGUGCUUAACACAUGCAAGUCGAACGGAAAGGCCCUGCUUUUGUGGGUUGCUCGAUUGGCGAACGGGUGAGUAACACGUGAGUAACCUGCCCUUGACUUUGGGAUAACUUUAGGAAACUGGGGCUAAUACCGGAUAGGAGCUCCUGCUGCAUGUUGGGGGUUGGAAAGUUUCGGCGGUUGGGGAUGGACUCGCGGCUUAUCAGCUUGUUUGUGGGGUAGUGGCUUACCAAGGCUUUGACGGGUAGCCGGCCUGAGAGGGUGACCGGCCACAUUGGGACUGAGAUACGGCCCAGACUCCUACGGGCGGCAGCAGUGGAGAAUAUUGCACAAUGGGCGGAAGCCUGAUGCAGCAACGCCGCGUGCGGGAUGACGGCCUUCGGGUUGUAAACCGCUUUCGCCUGUGACGAAGCGUGAGUGACGGUAAUGGGUAAAGAAGCAACGGCUAACUACGUG
rnacentral:rRNA from 1 species